AUAACACAAGAACUGGCGAGUGAUGUGUAAUAGGUUUAAGUCCUAUGAACUUAUGGCUACCAAAAAGUCCGGAAUGUAUCGGAAACAAAAAACAAAGCCUGCUGCGUUGACGGAUUCUAUGCGGCCAGUGUUGGGCAUCGCUCUUACUUAAAGUUUGAAUAAAAAGAGUGGGAAAGUGCAAAAUACAGAAAUGGUAAACAACUUUAUUGGAACCAGCAAAAUUUAAAUGUUUUCUGACGAAUCGCCGACAAAUCUGACAUGUUAAAGCGAAUAUACAUAUAUGAGUGUCGACGGUGCUGCAUUUGGAGUUCAAAACGUCGGUUGAGGCGCACUCCGCGGAUAAACUCUCCUUUCUCCUUCUGGUCCUUGGUUGUUCUACCCUUGAACAUGUCAAUGCGCCGCUGGCGUCGCUCAGCCAGCUUGUUGUCGUGCGAAUCGGCCGGUCUGCUGGAAAACGUGGCGUUGAAUGUCUUCACCGUGGAGGUGGACAAAUUGAAAGCUGGCUUUGGAGCUACAUUAGAAGCGGGAGCGGUGGCCUUCAAAGGCAAACGUGAUGAGUUCAGCUUAUCGGACGGAUGAUCCAUUACCACGGUCCGAUCGGCGGACAUGUCGAUCUUCUUCAUUGCCCUUGGACGAGCACGAUCCUCCACAGACGUGGUGCUCUGCAUUUUCUUCGCCGCCGAUCCUGGCACUUGCUUCUGUACAGAAUUGGUUAGCACCUUGGCGCGUUCCGCCUUCCGUUCGACGUGGUCCACCAGACUCUCCAUCUUGGCAAACUGUCUCUCAUGCAUGGCAGCAAAAUUGGGCAUCUUGGUGCGCUUAUUCACCUUGCUGGGUGUGAUGGUUUUGUUUAGCGGUAUAACACCU
ensembl:ncRNA asRNA:CR46097 antisense RNA:CR46097